rnacentral:lncRNA from 1 species
GUUAGAGCUGGGAAUCGUGCCUAUAUAAUCUGAGUGCACUGCCUUGGCCACAAAGCCCAUCUUUCUCUCUAACUGAAAGUUGUGUUGCUGUUGUUUGUUUUGUUUGUUUUUACAAAAUUAUUUAUAGUAUAUUUCAGAUGGGCACAGUUCAAAAGUAAUUCAGUGCUUACACCUCGCUAUUACUUUGGAAAAGACUUCCUGUUUUUAAGGGGGGCUCUGUCCUUGAGGAGCUCUGGCACUUCAGGGCAGCUUCAGACCUCUUGGAUGGACCAUCUUGUUUACUGAAGGAAAAAAACUGAAUUUCUGUUGUAACAGAUUAACUGCAUAAAACGAAUGCAUUCUUCCAGACUUUUUUUUCAUGAAGUAAUACAGAACUGAGCUCUUGGCCUGACAUACAUACUACAGUUUCUAGAGAGCUGCGUAUGGCUUCUUGGCCUACUCCUGUUUUUUUUAUACACUCUACAUAUUUGAACAAUUCUAUUCAGAAAUGAUUUUGUCUAUCCUGCUUUGUCGUAUUUAGCUGAAAAUCCAAGUGCCCUGAUGCAAGACAAUAUUUUAUUACUCGGCUGAAACUGCAGGCAAAUGAGGGAAUUGCAGUGGAGUUGUGGUACUGACUUUGAGGGUUGUGUGUGCAAUGUUCCGAGAGGAUGGGAUGAAUGAAAUUGCUGGUAAAGAUCAGAGCGGCCGGCCAGAGAUGACUGCCAGGACUUUGGUCAGGGACUAUUUUAGUGUUUUUGUACGCUAUAUAAUGUAAAUACAAUCUUAGCAGUAUGUGAGAUCCUCAGCACAUUGUAGAAUAAAAGGGGAAGUACUUCAAAACA